GAGGGUAUAGCUCAGUGGAGAGCAUGUGCUUAGCAUGUACAAGGUCCUGGGUUCAAUCCCCAGUGCCUCCA
rfam:Camelus ferus unplaced genomic scaffold scaffold595, whole genome shotgun sequence.